UACGUAGGGGGCUAGCGUUGUCCGGAAUCAUUGGGCGUAAAGCGCGCGUAGGCGGCCAGAUAAGUCCGGUGUGAAAGUCACAGGCUCAACCUGUGAAUGCCGCUGGAAACUGUCUGGCUAGAGUCCGGAAGGGGCGAGUGGAAUUCCUGGUGUAGCGGUGAAAUGCGUAGAUAUUGGGAGGAACACCAGUGGCGAAGGCGGCUACCUGGACCGGAACUGACGCUGAUGCGCGAAAGCGUGGGUAGCAAACAGG
rnacentral:rRNA from 1 species